AAUGGCAGAAGUGAAUCAUCAGUUUUUGAACGCACAUUGCUUUUUGGGGUAUCCCCCAAAGUAUACUUGUUUGAGCGUGGUUUCUCUCUGGGAAUGGCUUU
rnacentral:rRNA from 1 species